ACAUGGAGAAAAAAAUGCAUUAAGUCCAUUAAAUAGUUUGUUUUAUAUAUCAGUGCCCACGUGGACCCACAGUAUAGCACUACACAAUUUCUUACGAGGAAAAUACUAACUGAACCAGAAAAAUACAAACACCAGGCCUUCCUUGGGCUGGUAACAAUCAGAAAACAAGCCAUAAGGCAUUUACCAAGUGUCCUGGGGUGACUUUAUGAUGCUUGUAUCCCUAUUCGUCUGUUCUGUCUGUGCUGUAUAUUGAGUUCUGUGCCUUUUAAGACUGGCUCUGAGAGCAAAGCAGGGAAAGAAAAAGCGCCAUUUGUUUUUGUGAAAAACGUGAGAUGAUUAAUUCAUGUUCUUAUGGUAAAUUGGAAAAUUAUAAAGCUGUAUAAAUUUAUAUCAGGUAAAAGUCUAUGUUUUAGGAGGUUUCUCCAUUCAGAAGGGAACAAAAGACUUUGCAGCCUUCUCAAGUAUUGGGAGGGGACCUGUUGAGAUGAGCCGGUAUCAGCAACUCACACCUCGGGAGCCACCUUCACAGACCAUCAAGCAAUAUCACCCAUAUCUCGAACAUUCAUCAACUAUAAGGAUCCAUAGAAACUGAACAUUAACACAUAGACUUGGGAGGGGAGCUCUUUUCAAUCCGACCGGAGACGAAUUUGGGUUUGAAUAGCAACCAAGAAACAAAGGGAAAUAUGGGGAAAUAUUGCCAGAGGCAGAAUAAAGAGUAUAAAAACCAAGCCUCGAACAUGGCAAAUUCGUGUACCCAGCUAGAGACACAGACGGCCAGGGUCUAUGUCUAUGGGUCACCCUUGGCUCUCUUUUUUCCCGGGAGAAACUCUGUCAAGUAGGUAUCGCUGUUUGUGUGGGUUUAUUUUAUUGCUUAAAAUUCUGUGAUUUGAUUCCAAAUUUUGUGAUUUGAAUUUUUAAUAAACCAAAUUAUUGAAUUUGGAAAUAAAUUGUCCUGGCAUUUAUAACAGUUUUGAAAACAGCUCUCACUCCUGCACAUUCCUCUCCAGACAGUGGUCAGUGGUUCGUCUGAACGGUGGCUGGGACAGAGAUUUUUUUUUUUUUUUGCUUUUAGUUAGUUCAGCUAGCUGAGGCAGAAAAGCUUCCUGGACUGUUUUUUUUUUUUUUCUCUUUUUCUUGGGGCUGUUUAAACCUGCUCCACACUGAAAAACCUAGAGAGACACCCAGAUCUCACACCUGCAUCCCUCAGGGCCCAGGACAGCAUUUUUUUUCAGUGCCAGAGGAACUGGUGGGAAUACUGAGAGAGCCGAGCUGCACCCACGGCAAGGACUUUCUCAAUUUGCCUUCUCAGUUCAGAACAAGAGGUUUUGUUGUUUCAUAUUAUUCAUUCUUUGUGCUUGUGGGCACUUUGUUUGUUAAAUAAAUAGGUUUUUUCCACUUUUCUCUGAAGAAGUUCUUUUCCGGACUGGUUGGGGGGACGGGCCGUUUGGGUUUGCUUCCCCAGAGGGACCCUAUUUGGGGGUUUCCUCCCAAAUUUGCCCCAAACCAGGACAGCUACAUUUUCAUUGGCACCCAGUGUGGGGUACCAGGGGCCUGGUGGCCUAGCCGGGCUCCUGCCCCCCCCCCCCCCCCCAUCUCCAGCUACAAGCGAAAAAGAGGGGAGGCUGCCGCUUAUGUCAGCCGAGCCCCGGAUAGCAGCUCCGGGCUCCGGGCUCGGCAGGGCUCGCUCCGCUCCACCAUGGGCCCCACCCAGGGCUUGUGCAUGGCCCGGUUGGGUUCUGUUUCUGCCGCCAGUCGGGCCGGGCCCACUCCAUUAGACCAGGGGUGGGCAGGAGCCCCCCCCUCCUCCGAUGACUCCCGGACGGAUAGGAAAGGAGGGGGGAAAGCCCGCUGCUCUGAGAUCUCUCAGCCCUGAGAAGCUGCUGCUCAGCAGAGAUCACAUGACCACUGCAGGCCUGGGCAGAUUUAACCCUUUCUUAGCAAAAUGAGGGUUUCAGUGCUUAACCUUUCCCUGAGAGAGAGAAGAGAGGGACAGAGUGAAUGUAAAGAAGUCAGAGCAUGAAGUCAUCGGAGAGAGAAAGUGAAAAGACUUUUUGGGAGGAGGGUUUGAGGAGAUUGCUAUUUUAAGCUGAAUUUCUCUUAUCGAGCUAUGGAAAUGAACUCUAUAUGUAAUUAUCCUUUAAAUCACGGGAAAGAUAUGCAUUUGGGAAGAUGACUGUUAGAUUUUUGUGUGCAUCUUCAGCAAAGGUGAUUGUGAUGGACUAAGUGAUAUUGAUCUUAUGAGAUGCUUGAACAGAGAUAAAGAUGAGAAGCCCUCUUCACCAGUGAAAAAGUGAGAAGACAUCUCUGUUCCCUGAGAGGAAGAAUCCUUUGUCUUUAGAGUUACUCAUCUUUAAAGGGUCACACCUUAACAUGCAAGACUCAGAGUCCCAUGACGCAUAAGCAGCUUGAGAAACUGCUAAUGGGAGAAGUCAUGGAAGUAAGUUUUACUGGGCGGCUGUUUUUAUGACAGUUAAAACCCACAAGAGAACUGUUCUAGGUUGUCAGUGGGAUCCAUGACUCUAAGAGAGGCUCCUCUCCUAAAGAAGUGAUGAAAGACUAUUUUCAAAUGGUGAAACUGACUGAAAAUCACAGGUUGUCUCUUUAUGUGGUUUGUGAAAAAAAUGAACAGUUUGUGGAGAGAUGCAGAGUGUUUUAGACGUUUCUUCUUUUUUUCCUUAAAUUUCUCAUUCUUUUCUUUUAGUGUGUGUUAAUAAAAUCUAUCUGUUUACCUUAAGUUGGGCCUGUUUUGCCUUUUUCUCCUAAUCCUAUCUCACAGAAGGAAAGCAGAGUAAACACUGAAACCAUCACAAAAUUGGUGCAUUGGCCGAAAAUGGUCAAAAUUGGCAAACGUUAAACUGCUACACCAAGUCCCAGUUCAAGAAGUGCUAUCCAACAACUGCUGUUCAACAGGAUAAACUAGAUUUGAAAAGCUAGAACUCAAGAUAUAAUUGUGCUCUUGCUAGGUUCAAAACACUUGCAGGAUAAGAACUGUUGGAGUCUAGAACAUCCCUCUGGCCACCCUGGAGGGUUUGGAGACCAGGCAGGGGGGUCUGGGAUCUGUACAAGGGGGCCAACCAGCCUCACACAGAGCCCGGGAGGACACUGCCUCUGAUCCCUGGCCAUGGGAGUGAAUGCCCACAUUGUAUGAAGAAUCACAAGCUGACAGAAUUCAAAAUAAGUAGUAUUUAGUUUAUCAUAGAAUGUAAAUGUAUAAUCUAGGAUUCUCAGUAUAUGGGGUUGAAGAGGCAAGAUGGAGGAAUUGGGGAGUGGCCCCUGUGCUCCUUGUUCUUGUUCUCGUCCCCCAUUUUCUGCUGAGUUGGAUCUCAAGGAUUGGUUUAGAGUAGAAAUGACAUGUUAACAUGGGUAGUACGUAUUGGUACAAUUUUGUAAAUAAAAAGUACGUCUUGGACAGUGGUUGGGUCAGGGGUACUGUACAUAAGGUGCGGGGCUCUCUGAUCCGCCCAGUCCGCCGCGUGUCCUGCUCUGCUGGGGAUGCCUCACAGAGCUGAGAAAGAACUAAGAUAAGGUACCCUGCCAGGGAAGUGCCUGGCAGAGCUGAAAAAGGACUGAGAUAAUGAAGAAUAAACAACCUUGGAAAUGUGCACUGGUGGACUCAGCUUGUCAUCUCUGGCUCCGGUGUGAAACACUUAGGGCAAAGAGAAGACGGAAAACCUUAUUACCUCUGGGAACAGCAACCCAGAGGGGGACAGCAACCCUGGGGGAAAACCUUAGUACCUUGGGGAACACCAACCCCAAGGAGAAUCUCAGGGAAUCAAUAACCCUGAGAAGUGGUGCCUGAAGACAUCCCAGCAGCCACGGACCCUCAGAAGAAGACAAAAACUCCAUCAUUAGAAGAUAAGAACAGAUUCAGCUAGUCGCCGACCUUGGGCCCAGGGGCCCAGGGCUGCGUCAUCCCACAGCUGCCGGACAGCAAGAGACGACACCGGUUCCAGUUCCACAGCCAGGAAAGACUGCACCUAGGUGAGACCGGUCAAAAACCCAGAACACGGGGGGAAUGCAUCCCAGAAAUAGCUACGUAUCUUAUUAACUUGGCAAAGCAUCACUGCUGCAUAUCUUGCAGCUUUAUUUAACAAAGAGCCAGCAGCUCUCUAAUAAUGGGUUUGCCUCGAAAUUCCACAAUGCAGAACGGAACUAUAGUUCCAGACAGAAUUUUGGAAAGAGGUGAACAAAAAAAAACUAUAUCAAAAAGCAAUAAGGAGAGAUAAAGAAGCUCUCAAAUUAUUGGCAUCGGCAAGAGCACUGCUGAAAAUGAUAUUACAGAAUUCCAGGGAAGAAUUAAAACUCCCACGGCAGCAGAGAGGCAAAGAGGAAUUAGAUUCCCAGCCCUCUGAGCAAGUGAGCCCACAUGCCGACCGCAACCCUGUAAGAGUCGGUCCGAAAAUCCCUCAUUUCUGCCUCACGACUGUCAGAGGCUGAGACCCCCCCUGGACCCUGGGCCACAGCACAGGAGAGAUCCAAGCUUCUCCCUGCAGCUGCACCCACUGGACCAAGACGCCCUCCUCAGGGACACGUGCAGGAACAAUGGACACUGUCACGGUUCCUGGCCGUGUUUGCAGAGGCCGUGUUUGCUUUGACUGACUGUGCUGUGCCUGCUGCAGAGCCCAGACCUGCUUGCCCCAAACCUGCCUGAUCUGAAUGGUUGCACCUGAUUCCCAGAGGAACGGGGCUCCUCACAAUGACUCUUGGGUGCUCCCCCCACGCUGGCCAGGUGCCCCCCACUUCUGCCUGCAUUGGCCGGGUGCCCCCUGCUUCUGCAAUGACUAUAAAAGCUUCCCCCUGCGACUCACACUCUGAGGCCUCCCCAGCGGACGACGGCUCUAUUGACCUACGUGCCACGGAGACUGCGAAGGUGGUCUGUUGGCAUCGGCGUCACGAGGACCCCCGUCUGUCAGUUGCUCCAGUUACUUCUUACCAGCUUUUACAAUCUAAUUACACACUGAUCCACAAGCUACGGCCUACUCUGAUUGGGAUGAACCUCACUUUGGUAAAGUAAUUGUUGCUCCAUCAGGAUCUAAGUGAAAUUUUAGAUAAAACCAAGACCUUGAUAACAAAUUAUGUCAUCCCAUCAUUGUUCUUUUAACUUUAUUUUGAUUGGCUUUUGUUUUGCAGCAAUCUCAUUCUUUACUUAGAAACAAUAGAUAUACUUAGAGAUGUUGACACAAGACAAACUUUACAAGUAGGCCAUAGCCGCGGACUGUGAAAUGGAUUUUGCCUAAGUAAUACAUAUAUUUUAAGAAAAUUAUGUAUUUUGAUUUUUGUGAUUUGUGUUAAUCAUUUUUAAAUUUGUUCAUGCUACUUGAAAAUUGUUUUACAAUAAUUUUUUGCCUUGAUUGAAAAUUGUUUUAACUAAUAUUUUACUUAAUAUUGUUAAGAUUUUGUCUUGAUUAUUUGAUUUUAUGAAUCAUUUAUCAUCAUGAUUUGUUUAAGAGUUUUAUUAAUCAACAACAAUUAUUUGUUUUGAAAUUUUAAUGUCAUUGGAUUUGUUUUGUCAUAAUAUUUUGUUUUGAGAUAUUAACAAUCAAUAUUAAUCAUUAUGAUAUCUCUUGUUUUUCCUUCUCCCUUCUAUAUUUCUUUUCCCCCUCUCUUUUUCUCUCGACUCUAUUUUCCUGGGUAUACUACUGACACUGACAAUGAGUCCUGAAGACUUCAGAACAACGCAACGAACUCAACUGAUGGAGCUCUCCUGCCGACCAGUCGUGAGUCACGGGGUGGUGUAAGAGUCGGUCCGAAAAUCCCUCAUUUCUGCCUCACGACUGUCAGAGGCUGAGACCCCCCCUGGACCCUGGGCCACAGCACAGGAGAGAUCCAAGCUUCUCCCUGCAGCUGCACCCACUGGACCAAGACGCCCUCCUCAGGGACACGUGCAGGAACAAUGGACACUGUCACGGUUCCUGGCCGUGUUUGCAGAGGCCGUGUUUGCUUUGACUGACUGUGCUGUGCCUGCUGCAGAGCCCAGACCUGCUUGCCCCAAACCUGCCUGAUCUGAAUGGUUGCACCUGAUUCCCAGAGGAACGGGGCUCCUCACAAUGACUCUUGGGUGCUCCCCCCACGCUGGCCAGGUGCCCCCCACUUCUGCCUGCAUUGGCCGGGUGCCCCCUGCUUCUGCAAUGACUAUAAAAGCUUCCCCCUGCGACUCACACUCUGAGGCCUCCCCAGCGGACGACGGCUCUAUUGACCUACGUGCCACGGAGACUGCGAAGGUGGUCUGUUGGCAUCGGCGUCACGAGGACCCCCGUCUGUCAGUUGGUAGCUAUACCCUUUCUUUAGCCCCCUUUCUCUCCCUCUCUCUCUCCCUCUCUUCUUUCCCCUUCUUUUCUAUCGCAUAACUGUGUGUAUCAAUAAAGAUACAAUUGAUUUCACUUGAA